AAUGGGCGAAAGCCUGACGCAGCCACGCCGCGUGCCGGAUGAAGGCCUCUGGGUUGUAAACGGCUUUUACUAGGGAAGAAGAGAGGGUUUCGAUCUUCUGUGACGGUACCUAGUGAAUAAGCACCGGCUAACUCCGUGCCAGCAGCCGCGGUAAUACGGAGGGUGCAAGCGUUGUCCGGAAUCAUUGGGUGUAAAGGGUACGUAGGCGGGAGCCUAAGUCUGGGGUGAAAUCUUGCCGCUUAACGGUAAAAUGGCCCUGGAUACUGGGUUUCUUGAGUGCAGAAGAGGCAGGUGGAAUUCGUGGUGUAGCGGUGAAAUGCUUAGAUAUCACGAAGAACAUCAGUGGCGAAGGCGGCCUGCUGGUCUGCAACUGACGCUGAGGUACGAAAGCGUGGGGAGCGAACAGGAUU
rnacentral:rRNA from 1 species